rnacentral:lncRNA from 10 species
ACGCAGGGGCUCCUGAGGAAAAUUCCAGGCCCAGAGGGCCAAGCUGGUGAAUCCUACUUAGAGAAGAAAUAAUAGGAAUCCAGCCACUCAGACGAUGGACGAGGAGGGGCACUUCCCUGCUCGAUGUAUGGGCCAGCAUUGCCUUGAUAGCAAAGUCAGACAUCACCAGACAGUAGAACCACAGACCAAUGUCUUUCAUGAACCAAGACACAGCAUUUAAAAAAAUUAGCAAAUGGAAUUUAUAUCUGCCUAUUGUUUACAAAAAAAGCCAAACUUUGUAAAAUACUUGAAGAGAUUUAUUCUGAGCCAAAUAUGACCCAUGACACAGCCUCAGGACGUCCUGAGAACUUGGCCCAAGGCGGUUGUUUUACUGCUUGGUUUUAUUCAUUUCAGGGAGACAUAAGACAUCAGUCAGUACAUGUGAGGUGUGCAUUGGAUUGAUCCAGAAAGUCAGGACGACUCCAAGUGGAAAGGCCUCCAGGUAAUAGGUGGAUUCAAAGAUGUUUCUGAUUGGCAGUUGGUUGAAAGAAGUUACUAUCUGA